rnacentral:sRNA from 1 species
UUGACAGCCCUGCACACAGAGGUCUCCUAACAACAAAACUGUUACCACAUGAGUAGCGCGUGUUUCCGACACUGCUCUGCCAAUGUGCCGCAACCCUGACCUAGGGGGACCACCUUUAUGCCUGAGUGUAUAUUUUCCAUGCUCAUUCACAGCCUAAU